AUUGAACGCUGGCGGCAGGCCUAACACAUGCAAGUCGAACGAGUGGCGGACGGGUGUGUAAUGUCUGGGAAACUGCCUGAUGGAGGGGGAUAACUACUGGAAACGGUAGCUAAUACCGCAUACCAUCAGAUGUGCCCAGAUGGGAUGGUCUUGUUGGUGGGGUAACGGCUCACCAAGGCGACGAUCCCGAGCUGGUCUGAGAGGAUGACCAGCAACACGGGAACUGAGACACGGUCGAGACUCCUACGGUAGGCAGCAGUAGGGAAUAUGGCACAAUGGGCGCAAGCCUGAUGCAGCAAUGCCGCGUGUAUGAUGAAGGCCUUCGGGUUGUAAAAUCCUUUCAGCGGGGAGGCGUUACCCGCAGAAGAAGCACCGGCUAACUCCGUGCCAGCCGCCGCGGUAAUAC
rnacentral:rRNA from 1 species